rnacentral:rRNA from 1 species
AGCGAACGUUAGCGGCGGGCCUAACACAUGCAAGUCGAACGCGAAAGGUCUUCGGACUGAGUAGAGUGGCGCACGGGGUGAGUAACACGUAGGUAAUCUACCCUUUGGCGGGGGAUAACGUUCCGAAAGGAGCGCUAAUACCGCAUAAGACCACGUGGUCUCCGGACCGAGUGGGAAAAGGUGGCCUCUUCUUGAAAGCUACCACCGAAGGAUGAGCCUGCGUCCCAUCAGCUAGUUGGUAAGGUAAUGGCUUACCAAGGCGAAGACGGGUAGCUGGUUUGAGAGAAUGAUCAGCCACACUGGCACUGGAACACGGGCCAGACUCCUACGGGAGGCAGCAGUGAGGAAAUAUUGGGCAAUGGGCGAAAGCCUGACCCAGCCACGCCGCGUGAGUGAUGAAGGCCCUCGGGUCGUAAAGGACUCUGUGGAGAGGGACGG